ACUGCGUGUAAGCCCCAAGUGCGCAGGGCUUGUCUGUGCUCGAAGUGAAGUGCAGACAGCCUGCCUACGCGCGACAGGAAACACGUGCAGGUCCUGAACCCGCGACACGCACGCGAAGGAGGUGUGGGUGUUGCGCGCACGUCUCGUGCGCGCGUGCGUGAGGAGGGGACGUGGGCGUUGUGCGCACGUCCCGCGACCACUGUGUGCGCAUGCGCACGCACACAGUGCCCAUCACUCGCGUGGGCAAACUGCCCUCUCGCAGGAUUUUUCCCGUGGGCAGUUUUUUCCUAUUCCGUCGUUUUCCAAUUUUU
rnacentral:lncRNA from 1 species